rnacentral:rRNA from 1 species
GUUUCAGCCGCCGCGGUAAGACGGAGGGGGCUAGCGUUGUUCGGAAUUACUGGGCGUAAAGCGUGCGUAGGCGGCCUUUCAAGUUGGGUGUGAAAGCCCGGGGCUUAACCCCGGAAAUGCGCCCAAGACUGUUUGGCUAGAGACCGGGAGAGGUGAGUGGAACUCCCAGUGUAGAGGUGAAAUUCGUAGAUAUUGGGAAGAACACCAGUGGCGAAGGCGGCUCACUGGACCGGUACUGACGCUGAGGCACGAAAGCGUGGGGAGCAAACAGGAUUAGAUACCCUCGUAGUCC